rnacentral:rRNA from 1 species
GACGAACGCUGGCGGCGUGCUUAACGCAUGCAAGUCGAACGGUAAGGCCCUUCGGGGUACACGAGUGGCGAACGGGUGAGUAACACGUGGGUGAUCUGCCCUGCACUUCGGGAUAAGCCUGGGAAACUGGGUCUAAUACCGGAUAGGACCACUGCCUGCAUGGGGGGUGGUGGAAAGCUUUUGCGGUGUGGGAUGGGCCCGCGGCCUAUCAGCUUGUGGUUGGGGUGAUGGCCUACCAAGGCGACGACGGGUAGCCGGCCUGAGAGGGUGACCGGCCACACUGGGACUGAGAUACGGCCCAGACUCCUACGGGAGGCAGCAGUGGGGAAUAUUGCACAAUGGGCGCAAGCCUGAUGCAGCGACGCCGCGUGAGGGAUGACGGCCUUCGGGUUGUAAACCUCUUUCAGCACCGACGAAGCGCAAGUGACGGUAGGUGCAGAAGAAGGACCGGCCAACUACGUGCCAGCCGCCGCCGUAA